rnacentral:rRNA from 1 species
UACGAGGGGGGCAAGCGUUGUUCGGAAUUAUUGGGCGUAAAGGGCGCGUAGGCGGUGCGGUAAGUCACCUGUGAAAACUCUGGGCUCAACUCAGAGCCUGCAGGCGAAACUGCCGUGCUUGAGUGUGGGAGAGGUGCGUGGAAUUCCCGGUGUAGCGGUGAAAUGCGUAGAUGAUCGGGAGGAACACCUGUGGCGGAAAGCGGCGCACUGGACCACAACUGACGCUGAGGCGCGAAAGCUAGGGGAGCAAACAGG